AUUGAACGCUGGCGGCAGGCCUAACACAUGCAAGUCGAGCGGAGCGGCGGCCGGGUGAGUAAUGCCUAGGCAUCUGCCUGGUCGUGGGGGAUAACGUCCGGCAACGGGCGCUAAUACCGCAUACUAUCAGAUGAGCCUAGGUCGGAUUAGCUAGUUGGUGGGGUAAAGGCCUACCAAGGCGACGAUCCGUAACUGGUCUGCGAGGAGGAUCAGGCACACUGUAACGGAGACACGACACAGACUGCUGCGGGAGGCAGCAGGGGGGAACGUUAGACAACGGGCGAAAGCCUGGUCGAGCCAUGCCGCGUGUGUGAAGAAGAGCUGCGGAUUGGAAAGCACUUUAAGUUGGGAGGCGUUACCCGCAGAAGAAGCACCGGCUAACUCCGUGCCAGCAGCCGCGGUAAUAC
rnacentral:rRNA from 1 species